AGGGACUUAGGAUAGCAUAAGACCAAGGACCUUCAAAGACCUAAGCAGGAGUGCAAACCUCCUAGCCCCUG
rnacentral:tRNA from 1 species